GCUUAGAAAACAGCCUGGCAGUUCCUCAAAAAAGAUUAAACAUAGAAUUACUGUAUGAUCAACAAAUAACCCAAUCAAUAAAUGGACCAAGGACAUGAACAGACACUUCUCAUAAGAGGAUAUUCAAUCAAUCAACAAAUACAUGAAAAAAUGUUCAUCAUCUCUAGCAAUUAGAGAAAUGCAAAUCAAAACUACUCUAAGAUACCAUCUCACUCUAAUCAGAAUGGCAGCCAUUAUGAAGACAAACAACAAUAAGUGUUGGCAAGGAUGUGGGGAAAAGGUACACUCAUACAUUGCUGGUGGGUCUGAAAAUUGGUGCAGCCAAUAUGGAAAGCAGUAUGGAGAUUCCUUGGAAAACUUGCAAUGGGAUCACCAUUUGACCCAGCUAUCCCUCUCCUCAGUCUAUACCCAAAGGACUUAAAAACAGCAUAUUACAGGGACACAGCCACCUCAAUGUUUAUAGCAGCACAAUUCACAAUAGCUAAACUGUGGAACCACCUAGAUGCCCUUCAGUAGAUGAAAGGAUUUUUAAAAAGUGGCAUAUAUACACAAUGGAAUAUUACUCAGCAAUAAAAGAGAAUAAAAUCAUGGCACUUGUAGAUAAAUGGAUGUUGUUGGAGAAGAUAAUGCUAAGUGAAGUUAGCCAAUCCCCAAAAAAACAAAUGGCAAAUGUUUUCUCUUAUAUAAGGUGACUAACUCAUAGUGGGGUAGGGAGAGGAAACAUGGGAAGAAUAGAGGAACUCUACAUAGGGCAG
rnacentral:lncRNA from 1 species